rnacentral:rRNA from 1 species
UUACCAAAACCCAAAACAAAUGUCUGGUAAAAAUAAUAAUUGUUUUCGGUUGGGGCGACCCUGGAGAAAAAUUAAUCCUCCAAGCUGAACAGACCAAAAAUCUAAUGUUAGAGUAACAACUCAAACAAUCAAAACCUUGACAAAAUGACCCAGAAUCCAUCUGAUCAAGAACCAAGUUACCCUGGGGAUAACAGCGC